CUGUCCACACCAGCAGCUUCAGCAGCAGCACCAGCUCCCGAUGCCUCUUGGGGCUGCCCCUCAUCCUGCCUUAUAACAUGACACAAUGCAUACACUGUGACACUAUACCAACAGAACGCAUCAUCUGCUAAUCGGCUGAGCAUAUACAGUAAGAGCCCUGUAACGUUAUCUAACGUCCAACUGAGACGAGAAUGUCACGUAGAGUAACAGUAGUCAGGCACUUUGGGACAACUAAAUCUCUGAGGGUAGGACCCCGGCGUCUGGCUGUUGCGUGGCGAGGUAUCUAUGUGUAUGACAGAAGUGUUUGUCUGGCUGGCCAUUACAUGCAGCAUUAUCCAGAAAGAUGACCAAGGGACCACAUGCUGAGAUAGCGGAGUUCAGGCGCAGCAUGGAGAGGCAGCAGAAGGAAGCGCUAAGACUGGUGGGACCAAUCUCUAGCUGACCUACAGUGCCUUCGUUAUGAAAUAUCGUGUAUGGGAAACCCGCCUCCCCACGCUGGAAGUCCGGAUUGCCUAAAAAUCUCAGGUACAAGGAGCUGUGGUUCCCUAAAUUCCCGGAACGUCUAAGAGAGUGCCAGAGGCGAUAAACCGACCACAGAAGGGGAUUAUCCUUCAGUGCCUGAUCGCACUCCGCCUCUAUACAGUGGAGGAAAUUGACCAAACUCUUGGUUUUUAUGAAUUGCGCCUCUAGUUGGGUGUUUGCAUAAGUAUCUGCAUCAUCUAACCAGUCUCUCAGAAACAUCAAUAAAGAU